AUUGAACGCUGGCGGCAUGCUUUACACAUGCAAGUCGAACGGCAGCACGGGCUUCGGCCUGGUGGCGAGUGGUGAACGGGUGAGUAAUACAUCGGAACGUACCCAGUAGUGGGGGAUAGCCCGGCGAAAGCCGGAUUAAUACCGCAUAUGCCCUGAGGGGGAAAGCGGGGGACCGAACGGCCUCGCGCUAUUGGAGCGGCCGAUGGCUGAUUAGCUAGUUGGUGGGGUAAAGGCCUACCAAGGCGACGAUCAGUAGCUGGUCUGAGAGGACGACCAGCCACACUGGGACUGAGACACGGCCCAGACUCCUACGGGAGGCAGCAGUGGGGAACUUUGGACAAUGGGCGAAAGCCUGAUCCAGCAAUGCCGCGUGUGCGAAGAAGGCCUUCGGGUUGUAAAGCACUUUUGUUUGGAAAGAAAAGGUUUGGGUUAAUACCCUGGACUGAUGACGGUACCAAUCGAAUAAGCACCGGCUAACUACGUGCCAGCAGCCGCGGUAA
rnacentral:rRNA from 1 species